AAAAAAAUAUCUCUCCCAAUUGGAACACAUAUCCAUCCAGAUCUCUUUCUCUUGAUUAUCUCUCUCCUCCCCAACGGAAAACAAAUGGAUAUUCUCUCUCAAACAGAAGGUUUACGAUUGCAUCGACCGUCACUUUUCCUUUGGAUUUUGAUUCAAGUGUUUAUCUACUGUGUCUUCUCAAAGUUUUGUACUCUCCACGGAUUGGAUCCUGGAUUUUCUCACGUUCCUCAUGGAGAUCAGUUUUGUGCUCUCUACGGAUUGGAUCGUUUUUCUUCUCGCGGACAAUUUUGGGAUGAGUCAUGGAGAUCAGGUUGAAGCGCACCAACUAUCCCCAUCUGCUCAAGAUUCUG